GGUAUUUCCAUCUCUUUCAGAAUUUUCCACAGUUUAUUGUGAUCCACACUUUAUUCUGCUCAAGAAUCUGGCAUUUCCCCAUUGCCUCACCAGCCCAGAGGGGAUAAGACCCAGUGGGAGGGGUUACCCAAUGAAUGAGCUGUGCUUAGAGCAUAGAGGCUCUCUGCUGUCUGUGCCUCUGGGGCCAUGACACUGGGUGUGGCUGGCAGCUGGGUGCUGUUCCUUGCAUCAUGCCCUUUGGGACUGCCCGCCACCCAUCAGGUUCUCCCAGAACUCCUCGGAAUACAAGGAACCUAUUCUGCCGAGUGCUUCGUACUGGCCUGCUCCUAUCUCUCCUAGCUUAGACUAGUGAGAAGCUAAAGACAUUUUGAAGUCCAUACCUGGGUCAUGGUUCUGUAAGCAUGCUGCUACCACCAGCAUCACAAUCAGCAUGUGAGCUGGAAACCUGCCCUAUUUUCCUCUGUCCAGCUUCUCUUCUGUGUUGCUCAGCCUGAGUUCCCUGAACAGAGGCCAGCAGAGCUAGGAAAAGCCUCAGGGACCACUAGGCCUUUCCCAGUAUAGAUGGUGACAUGUUCAUUUUUACGCUUGUUUGCCUGUGGGGCGAUGGAGGAAGAGAAGGCAUGUCAUGCCUUGACCAGCAUGAGCCUCCUGGACCGUGCUGACCUGCUGUGCCCCUUGGAUGCCUGUCUUGCUUUUGACCCAGGACAUUGGAUUUAUCACUGCUGCUUUCUUCCCUCCUUUCAUCCUUCCGUGAAUAACCACAAGUCCACACUGUGUGCCAAGUACCCUUCUAGGUGCUGAAGACAGACUAGACAAGAAAUUAAACCAAAUCUUUACUUCCUGGAACUUAUAUUCUAGUGUGGGAGAAAGUAAAACAAGAUAAAUAUGAAAAAUAUGAUUCAUUUUUUCCAGUUUUUAAUGUUUUAUUUUAUUAAAAUUUUUUUCAUGAUUUAUUAACAUUUUGUUCAUUGAGAAAAUGGUUAUUUUGUUAAAGAAACCUUUUCUUCUGUUUUUCCUUUGUUUUAAUUUUGCUAAAUUUACAUAUAAUGCUGCAAUAAGCAGCCUUAAAUAUCUAUGCUUACAUACUGUUAUUUUAGUCUUAGAGAUAUAUUGACAGAAUAAGGUUAUUGGAUAAAUGGGUGUAUGGCUAUAUGCCUAUAUAAUUAUUAUUAAAAUAUAUACGAUAUGGUCUAAUGCUUUAAGUCCUUUCUAUUUAAAGGGUUGCUCACAGAUCCAAAGACACAAGAUGGGAACAGGUUGGAAACAUGAGGAUCCACCUUGGACCAACGGAGUGUGUGUCUUUGUUGUUGGUACGCAAUCCGAGCUUGCUCUGCUUGCCCCAUGCCGAGCCAGUAAGACAGGAGACAGGUGUUGAGGCAAAGAAUAGUGACUUCAUUCGGAAAGCUGGCAGAGAAGAUGGUAGGCUAGUGUCUCAAAAUCACCUUGGGGUCUGGAUGCCAAUUUCUUUAUAUAGAAGUGGCGGGUAGGUAGGAAAUAAAGCAAAAAGACCAUUAAUCUUGCAGGUAUCUCCGGAAUGGUCAGCUUCAGCGAGGGGCUGUGUUAAUUUCUUCUGUCCUGCGGCCAUUCACAGCGGGACUGGGUCAGGAUGUCUCCCAAACCCAAGGCACUGAGAUCUAAAUUCAGGCAGAGGGGCAGGGCUCCCCAAGGCAGGUGAUUAUGUGUACAGACCUAUCCUUCUAAAGAACAAAAGCAAGGGGAAGCAAAGUAAAGCAGAUAGAGUCUUCCCUGUAACUUUGUAACAAGUUUUCCAGGUGGAUCCACAGGCACUUUCGUGUUUGAGGAGCACUGCUUAGACCCUGCUAAAUGCUGAGGAGAAAAGUAGAGAGUCAAAAGGGAAGGGGGCCCUCGCUGGGAAGGGGGCCUUGGAGUACAGGCCGUGAGCUCCGGUAGAUACCCGGAGGAAGAAGCUGCCGCAAACGGUAAGGCAGAGUGAGCCGGUGAAGGAGGCUGCGCAAGACGGCCGACUUAUCCUCACUGGGCCGCGAUCCCAGGCCUUUUGUUUUAGCUGAGCCCAGGCCGCGCGGUUUCCGAGCGCAGCGCUGUAAGAUCUCCGCGCGCUGGGAUGUUAAGGAGCGUCGUGCGCUACGCUAACUCGGGGGCACUGGCGAGUGAAGCUCUCCUGCCUAGGGUUUCUGCCGCUCCAUCACAGCUCCCAAGACUUUCAAAAAUACAGUUCCCUGCCCCCGCCUUACACCAGCCAGGCUAGCAGCGGAAGAAAUCCUAACGCAAACCUUAGAGUCUACCCUUUUCUCUCCACUUCCACCUAAACGUCCCGGCCUCAGCUCCUCCUCGCAUCCCUGCUCUCAUCCCCCUGUUUUUCCACGCCUGCACCCUCGAAACUCUUAAGAGAGGAAUCCAGGCAAGUGGCUCUCAAACGGGGCCGGCCUAGCACAUCACCCGUGCUUCCAGCGGUCUUUGGUUUCUGGGCAAGAGGACAUGGAGUCCGGCUUGGCUCCGCGUCUGAUCCAGCCGGACUCCGCCACCCAGCCUGGGACCUUGUGGGCGGUGACUCGAUUUCCCCACGCGGUACUUUCCUCGGCUUUGAGAAGGAGAUAACACCCGCCUCCCCGGGUUGUUCUGAGGUUCGAGAGAGCAUUUGAAGGAAAGCAUUUUUGUUAAGUGACAGAGUGCUAAAUACACGGGGCUAACUUCAGCUCGCUGAUCUUGGCUGAAGGAUGGAUGUCUGCUCCUUCCGCCCCCGCCAACCACCCCAGCGGUCUUCCUGUUUCUUCUGCACUUGGCAGUGCCCUCUCGCCCGGUUAUUGCACUCGGCGUGCCCGACUUGUCUCCGGCCUCUGGUCUCGCCGGGGAGGGCAGGCCGGGUAAGGAGAAGAGGACUGAUUGGCUGGGUGGGAGGUGGGACGAGCAGUGACGCUCCUAGCCCGGGAGACUGCGCCGCGGGGUG
rnacentral:lncRNA from 1 species